UCUGUCAAUGUAGUCUGUUAUAAUAAAUAUAUCGCCCCUGUCUGUUCCAAGAUAUGAGCGGUUCGCACCAUUGUCUAACUCAGCUGUUUUAUUUAUUUCUCUUUACUAAAUUCCUACUCUAAAAUAGUUUGUAACAGGUUAUGGGCCCAGACGCCCGGAUAGAAAUAGGGAAGUAGGAUUUAUAAAGUGAUAGGCAUCACGUUGAUGCAAAUUGAUUUCGUGAUACGUCGCGACGUCAUUAACUUUUCAGCUUACAAUGGCGGACCCCCGUUUUGCUCAAAUUGAUCGUUUGGCGGGCCGUGAUAAUUAUCCUACAUGGAGUUUCGCGGUGAAAACCUUUUUAGAGCAUGAAGAUUUGUGGAAAUGUGUCGAGACAUCGGGCAUGGCUUUUACGAAGACCGAAGAUACGAAGGCAAGGUCAAAAAUAGUCCUUCUAGUUGACCCUAUGAACUAUGUUCAUAUCCAGGAUGCCACCACGGCUAAGGAGGUAUGGGAUAACCUGAGAAAGGCUUUUGAUGACUCCGGCUUGUUGAGGAAGGUAGGUCUUCUGCGAGAACUAAUUACAACAGAUCUGGAAAGUUGUGGUAGUGUUGAGAACUAUGUCAACAAAAUCAUCACAUGUGCACACAAGCUUCGUAAUAUAAAAUUCAUUGUAGAUGAUGAGUGGCUCGGCACAUUAUUAUUAGCCGGGUUACCAGAGUCAUAUAGUCCUAUGAUUAUGGCUAUGGAAAGCUCAGGUGUGUCCAUCACUGCUGAUUUAGUUAAAACAAAGAUUUUACAGGAUGUAAAGUCUCCGGACAACUCAUCUGUUUUUUUUUCAAAUUUCUACUAAGGCAAGGCAAAGAAUAGUAAAUGUUCAGGUUCUAAAGCAAAUAGUAAAGGUCCCAGGUGCUUUAGGUGCAAUAGGCAUGGUCAUUUAGCCAAAUUUUGUGCCUCAAACAGCUCAAAUCAAAAGAAUAAGUCUGAAACUAUUAAUACUUCUUCUAGCUAUGUUGCAGCGUUUCCAGCCUCACCAGGCCUAGAGAGUGGAUGCUGGUACAUUGAUUCAGGAGCUGCAAUGCACAUGACAAACAAGAGAGAUUGGCUUUAUGACUACGGACCUGCUUUAGUAACAAACAUUAAAGUUGCAGACAACAAAAUAUUAACAGUAAAAGGCUGUGGUAAAGUAAAUAUAGAAACAUAUGAUGGUGAAAGUGAAUUAAAAAUUGGUACAAUACAAGUAAAAAAUGUUUUAUAUGUGCCAGAUUUGGCUGUUAAUCUUCUGUCAGUCCGCCAAAUGACACAGAAUAACUGUCAAGUAAAAUUUAGUAAGAAUACAUGUAAUGUUUAUAAAGAGUCUAAAUUAAUUCUCACUGGAUAUAUAAAGAACAAUUUAUAUGUGGUUCAUAAUGAAACUUAUGCUUUGAUGUCAUCUGUACAUCUAUGGCAUCAAAGGAUGGGUCAUCUAAAUUAUAAUGAUCUUCAGAAACUUAAUGAGUCUACAGAUGGAGCAGAUAUAGAAUCAAGUAGAGAGGAGCAUGUGGUAUGUAAUACUUGCUUAAAAGGUAAGCAAACAAGGCAACCAUUCAAACAUGCUGGCACAAGGGCUUCCGCCCUCCUGGAGUUGGUGCAUUCAGAUGUAUGUGGGCCAAUGGAGGAAAAGUCUCUCGGUGGUGCCAGAUAUUAUGUCACUUUUGUCGACGAUUGGUCUAGAAAGAGCUAUGAUGCAUGUGCCAAAGGAGAAGAGGUUAAAAUGGGACUGUAAGUCAAAAGAGCUUAUAUUUGUAGGUUAUUGUUUAGAGUCCAAGGGUUAUAGAUUGUUUGACAAAACUGAAGGAAAAGUAAUGAGAAGCAGAGAUGUAAUCUUCCUAGAAGAAAGUGUAAAUAAAGAUUUUGCUUUUCUACCACUUACUGAAUCGCAAGUAGUUAUAAAUGAAGAUAAUUUAGAUGAUAC